rnacentral:rRNA from 1 species
UACGGAGGGUGCGAGCGUUGUCCGGAAUCACUGGGCGUAAAGGGCGCGUAGGCGGCGCGGGGAGUCAACGGUGAAAGCUCGGCGCUCAACGCCGAGUCGGCCGUCGAUACUCCCGUGCUCGAGCACUGUAGAGGCAGGUGGAAUUCCGGGUGUAGCGGUGGAAUGCGUAGAGAUCCGGAAGAACACCGGUGGCGAAGGCGGCCUGCUGGGCAGUAGCUGACGCUGAGGCGCGACAG